CGGUAAUUCCAGCUCCAAUAGCGUAUACUAAAGUUGUUGCAGUUAAAAAGCUCGUAGUUGGAUUUCUGCGCGGGCGGGGCGCCCGCUGUCCUAAGUGACGGGUUGGGCAGCAACGCCCGCGCAUCCUGCCGCGAACCACGCUACCAUUAGUUUGGUGGCGUCUUGGGGACCGGCUCGUUUACUUUGAGAAAAAUAGAGUGUUCAAAGCAGGCAACUCGCCUUGAAUAAUGUAGCAUGGAAUAAUGAUAAAGGACUUUGGUUCUAUUUUGUUGGUGUUCGGGACCGAAGUAAUGAUUGAUAGGGACAGUUGGGGGCGUCUGUAUUCUGAAGCGAGAGGUGAAAUUCUUAGACCUUCGGAAGACAAACAGCUGCGAAAGCGUUCGCCAAGGAUGUUCCCUUUGAUCAAGAACGAAAGUUGGGGGAUCGAAGACGAUCAGAUACCGUCGUAGUCUCAACUAUAAACUAUACCAGCUAGGGAUCGGCCAACGUUGAUUCAUAAAGACUUGGUCGGCACCUUAUGAGAAAUCAAAGCAUCUGGGUUCCGGGGGGAGUAUGGUCGCAAGGCUGAAACUUAAAGGAAUUGACGGAAGGGCACCACCAGCCGUGGAGCCUGUGGCUUAAUUUGACUCAACACGGGAAAACUUACCAGGUCCAGACAUAGGAAGGAUUGACAGAUUGAUAGCUCUUUCUUGAUUCUGUGGGUGGUGGUGCAUGGCCGUUUUUAGUCAGUGGAUGUGAUCUGUCUGCUUAAUUGCGUUAACGGACGAGACCCCAGCCUGCUAAAUAGCGCGGCCGAGCUUUGCUCGGUGCGAGCUUCUUAGAGGGACCAUGAUGCGCGAUAGCACAAGGAAGUUUGGGGCAACAACAGGUCUGUGAUGCCCUUAGAUGUUCUGGUCCGCACACGGGCUACACUGGCGCCUGCAACGAGCAUAUCAGCUGGCCCGAGAGGGUCUUGGCUAAUCUUUGGAACCGGCGCCGUGCUUGGGAUUGACCAUUGCAAUUGUUGGUCAUGCAACGAGGAAUGCCUUGUAAACGCGAGUCAUCAGCUCGCAUUGAAUACGUCCCUGCCCUUUGUACACACCGCCCGUCGCUCCUACCGAUGAAUGUUCCGAUGAAAUUUUCGGAGAGCACCAGAGAACGGGGCUCCGCCUUGCAGAACUGGAGGCUCAAAGUCACUUAAAUCUGAACAUUUCGAGGAAGGAGAAGUCGUAACAAGGUAACC
rnacentral:rRNA from 1 species